CAUGGAGCCACCAGAGUCAGACAUGCUGAAAUUUUUCCUGCACCCUGAUCUCUAUGCACAUCUAUGCCCUCAACAGGAACAGCGCUGUGAGGCCUGACCCAGAGGUGGAUCUCGGGCAUGGCUUCCAAGGAGUGGAGUCAGAUUUCAGUAGCAAAGUUUCUAAGGAGGACUGUGUUGGAGAUCUUCAAUCUGCUGUCCCAUCUGGCUCCUACUUAGGGUACCUCUGCCUCCUUCAUUGGCAUCUGUAACCAUCUAACUAUACUUCAGAAAUGUCCCUUGUUCCUGCUUCAGUUUUCUUUCCUGGACUUCCCUGGUCUCCCUGACUCCACCUCCGCAAUGAUCCUCUGUACCUCUAUCAGGCAGGACUAUAUUCAGAUGCCUAGCUGCAGCCACACCCUUGACUGGCUGGUGCCCUCAUCUAUUUUCUGCCAUCACACUUCCUACUUCGGAUCAAGUUGCUGAUGUGUUGACAAUGUCUCCUCCCCCUCAAGCUGCAUAGCACCAAAGCUCAGGUCAAUGAGCAGCUCCUCUCAUUUCUUUGUGACUCUCCGUGUACUUCUGGGGCAUCCAUGGCCCCAUCAGUGUUAUGUUUAAUGACAUGCCACAGUCAGGGCAUGGGAUGAUGUUAGAAACACCACAUUUCUCA